GGCGCGGGCCGCUGCGCCCGCCUCACGGCGGCGCGCGGCGACCGUGCCAUCCUCGCACCGAAGGCGUCGUCUUAAUUGCCGGCGUCCGGAGGUGCGUCCUUUACUGUGAAAAAAUUAGAGUGUUUAAAGCAGGCUUCCCGCUUGAAUACAUUAGCAUGGAAUAAUGAGAUAGGACUUCGGUGCUAUUUUGUUGGUUGCGUACCGAGGUA
rnacentral:rRNA from 1 species